CCUACGGGUGGCAGCAGUGAGGAAUAUUGGUCAAUGGACGGAAGUCUGAACCAGCCAUGCCGCGUGCAGGAAGACGGCUCUAUGAGUUGUAAACUGCUUUUGUACAAGGGUAAACCUGAAUACGUGUAUUCAGCUGAAAGUACUGUACGAAUAAGGAUCGGCUAACUCCGUGCCAGCAGCCGCGGUAAUACGGAGGAUCCAAGCGUUAUCCGGAUUUAUUGGGUUUAAAGGGUGCGUAGGCAGAUUGAUAAGUUAGAGGUGAAAUGUCCGGGCUUAACUAGGGAAGUGCCUCUAAUACGGUUGAACGAGAGAGUAGAUGCGGAAGGGGGAAAGUAGGGUGUAGCGGGUAA
rnacentral:rRNA from 1 species